UGAUCCUGGCUCAGGAUGAACGCUAGCUACAGGCCUAACACAUGCAAGUCGAGGGGAAACGGCAGCUUAGCUUGCUAAGCUGGACGUCGACCGGCGCACGGGUGAGUAACGCGUAUCCAACCUGCCCCACGGUGAGGGAUAACCCGCGGAAACGCGGCCUAAUACCUCAUGGCCUCCGAGUUUGCCAUCAACCUUGGAGUAAAGAUUCAUUGCCGUGGGAUGGGGAUGCGUCUGAUUAGCUUGUUGGCGGGGCAACGGCCCACCAAGGCAACGAUCAGUAGGGGUUCUGAGAGGAAAGCCCCCCACAUUGGAACUGAGACACGGUCCAAACUCCUACGGGAGGCAGCAGUGUGGAAUAUUGGUCAAUGGGCGAGAGCCUGAACCAGCCAAGUAGCGUGCAGGACGACGGCCCUAUGGGUUGUAAACUGCUUUUAUGCGGGGAUAAAGCGGGCGACGUGUCGCCCUUUGCAGGUACCGCAUGAAUAAGGACCGGCUAAUUCCGUGCCAGCAGCCGCGGUAAUACGGAAGGUCCGGGCGUUAUCCGGAUUUAUUGGGUUUAAAGGGAGCGCAGGCCGGGUAUUAAGCGUGUUGUGAAAUGUAGGCGCCCAACGUCUGCACCGCAGCGCGAACUGGUGCCCUUGAGUACGCACGACGUUGGCGGAAUUCGCCGUGUAGCGGUGAAAUGCUUAGAUAUGGCGAAGAACUCCGAUUGCGAAGGCAGCUGACGGGAGCGCUACUGACGCUCAUGCUCGAAAGCGCGGGUAUCGAACAGGAUUAGAUACCCUGGUAGUCCGCGCGGUAAACGAUGGAUGCCCGCUGUUUGCGCAUUAGCGCAAGUGGCCAAGUGAAAACGUUAAGCAUCCCACCUGGGGAGUACGCCGGCAACGGUGCAACUCAAAUGAAUUGACGGA
rnacentral:rRNA from 1 species